rnacentral:lncRNA from 1 species
GGGAUGUGGUGAGGGCGCAGACGCAUCUUCCAGAGCCGACCUUCCCCCGCGCCCUCCAAAGCUAGGGGUCACGCUGUGUCCCCAGUCCCUUCUGCGUUUAUCCCGUCGGUGGUGUAGGGCAGGGAUCCCGCACCUUUCGAGGUCACUUGGCUUCCGUGAGAAGCUGAUGACGGCUCGGCCCCUCCCAGAGAACCGCUCAUGCUCGCCGCUUUGCCACAUUUUCAAGGCUGCUCUGGUGAGAACCCCUCGGUGACCUCAGGCUUACCUUGAACGGCAAGCUUUAACACCUGAUUACUAAAGUCGAAGUGACAAGGAACUCAUCUGUCAGUUUUCCCUCAUGGAAGUGUCUUACGAAACCAUUUUAUAAACCAUAUGCUUGAAAAAGGUCAGAAAACGCAGGUCCCCAAAUGCAGUGCGUGUUCGGUUGUUCAGCAUGUUGCCCUCGGGUUAUUUCACCCCAAGCCCAUCUCUGCAAACUGACCUCCAAGGGCCGGACAGACCCUGAUACCCUCCAGCCUUGAGGCAGUCCGCCUGGGAAAUUUCUGAGAAGGGCUCCUUCCAUCCAAACCGUGAAAAUGUGGCGUCUUGGCUUUACGCUUCCACUUGUACCCACCUACAUACGUUUCCUCCUGCUUCAAACUCUGGCCCAGGAUAAUGGAUUACAUGAGGCACCUGUUUUGAGAUGUUCCCGUCAUUCCGUCAACUCCCGUGAUGGAGGCAUAUGGGGAAUAGGCGUGCUGCUGGGGGUAACACAUGCGGAGGCCUGGAUCCGAGAGUCAGUUCAAAAGGACUCCCCCCGUGGUGGACACUCUGUGGGUCUGGAAAAAUAUCCCAGUUGAGAGAAGCCUCUCUCUCUUCUUACUUUGCCGAGAGUUUUCUUUUUUAAUUGAAGUACAGUUGAUGCACAAUAUUAUAUAAGUUAUAGGUGUAAAAUACGGUGAUUCGUGACUUUAAAGGUUGUGGUCUGUAUUCCAACUAUUGUAAUUAUAAAAUUUUGGAGUUGCCAUUGUGGCGCAGUGGAAAUGAAUCAGACUAGGAUCCAUGGGGUUGGCGGCUCCAUCCCUGGCCUCAGUGGGUUAAGCAUCUGGCGUUGCCGUGAGCUGUGGUGCAGGUCACAGAUGCGGCUCAGAUCUGAC